GACGAACGCUGGCGGCGUGCUUAACACAUGCAAGUCGAACGAGUGGCGAACGGGUGAGUAAUACGUGAGUAACCUGCCCUCUUUUGGGGAUAAGCCUUGGAAACGGGGUCUAAUACCGGAUAAAGGGGGAUGGGCUCGUGGCCUAUCAGCUUGUGGGUGGGUUGAUGGCCUACCAAGGCGGUGACGGGUAGCCGGCCUGAGCGGGUGACCGGCGACAGUGGGACUGAGAUGAGGCCCAGACGCGUACGGGAGGGAGAAGUGUGGGAUAUUGGACAAUGGGCGAAAGACUCAUGCCGCGGCGCCGAGUGGGGGAUGAAGGCUUUCAAGUUGUAACAGUCUUGAGCUAUCGAACGGGUAGGUGGAGAAGAAGCGCCGGCUAACUACGUGCCAGCAGCCGCGGUAAUAC
rnacentral:rRNA from 1 species